UUUACUUCUAUAUUAUGUAUUUCAUGCAUAGUGCAGUACUGUAGUUUAUGCAUAGUGCAGUACUGUAGUUCAUGCAUAGUGCAGUACUGUAGUUUAUGUAUAGUGCAGUACUGUAGUUUAUGCAUAGUGCAGUACUGUAGUUCAUGCAUAGUGCAGUACUGUAGUUCAUGCAUAGUGCAGCAGUACUGUAGUUUAUGUAUAGUGCAGCAGUACUGUAGUUUAUGCAUAGUGCAGUACUGUAGUUCAUGCAUAGUGCAGUACUGUAGUUUAUGUAUAGUGCAGCAGUACUGUAGUUUAUGUAUAGUGCAGUACUGUAGUUUAUGCAUAGUGCAGUACUGUAGUUCAUGCAUAGUGCAGUACUGUAGUUCAUGCAUAGUGCAGCAGUACUGUAGUUUAUGUAUAGUGCAGCAGUACUGUAGUUUAUGUAUAGUGCAGCAGUACUGUAGUUUAUGCAUAGUGCAGUAUUGUAGUUUAUGUAUAGUGCAGCAGUACUGUAGUUUAUGUAUAGUGCAGCAGUACUGUAGUUUAUGUAUAGUGCAGCAGUACUGUAGUUUAUGUAUAGUGCAGUAUUGUAGUUUAUGUAUAGUGCAGUAUUGUAGUUUAUGUAUAGUGCAGCAGUACUGUAGUUUAUGCAUAGUGCAGUACUGUAGUUUAUGCAUAGUGCAGCAGUACUGUAGUUUAUGUAUAGUGCAGCAGUACUGUAGUUUAUGUAUAGUGCAGUAUUGUAGUUUAUGUAUAGUGCAGCAGUACUGUAGUUUAUGUAUAGUGCAGUAUUGUAGUUUAUGCAUAGUGCAGCAGUACUGUAGUUUAUGUAUAGUGCAGCAGUACUGUAGUUUAUGCAUAGUGCAGCAGUACUGUAGUUUAUGUAUAGUGCAGCAGUACUGUAGUUUAUGCAUAGUGCAGCAGUACUGUAGUUUAUGUAUAGUGCAGCAGUACUGUAGUUUAUGUAUAGUGCAGUACUGUAGUUUAUGUAUAGUGCAGCAGUACUGUAGUUUAUGUAUAGUGCAGCAGUACUGUAGUUUAUGCAUAGUGCAGCAGUACUGUAGUUUAUGUAUAGUGCAGCAGUACUGUAGUUUAUGUAUAGUGCAGCAGUACUGUAGUUUAUGCAUAGUGCAGCAGUACUGUAGUUUAUGCAUAGUGCAGCAGUACUGUAGUUUAUGCAUAGUGCAGCAGUACUGUAGUUUAUGUAUAGUGCAGCAGUACUGUAGUUUAUGUAUAGUGCAGUACUGUAGUUUAUGCAUAGUGCAGUACUGUAGUUUAUGCAUAGUGCAGUAUUGUAGUUUAUGUAUAGUGCAGCAGUACUGUAGUUUAUGUAUAGUGCAGCAGUACUGUAGUUUAUGCAUAGUGCAGCAGUACUGUAGUUUAUGUAUAGUGCAGUACUGUAGUUUAUGUAUAGUGCAGCAGUACUGUAGUUUAUGUAUAGUGCAGUACUGUAGUUUAUGUAUAGUGCAGUACUGUAGUUUAUGCAUAGUGCAGUACUGUAGUUUAUGUAUAGUGCAGCAGUACUGUAGUUUAUGCAUAGUGCAGCAGUACUGUAGUUUAUGUAUAGUGCAGCAGUACUGUAGUUUAUGUAUAGUGCAGUACUGUAGUUUAUGCAUAGUGCAGUACUGUAGUUUAUGCAUAGUGCAGUAUUGUAGUUUAUGUAUAGUGCAGCAGUACUGUAGUUUAUGUAUAGUGCAGCAGUACUGUAGUUUAUGCAUAGUGCAGCAGUACUGUAGUUUAUGUAUAGUGCAGUACUGUAGUUUAUGUAUAGUGCAGCAGUACUGUAGUUUAUGUAUAGUGCAGUACUGUAGUUUAUGUAUAGUGCAGUACUGUAGUUUAUGCAUAGUGCAGUACUGUAGUUUAUGCAUAGUGCAGCAGUACUGUAGUUUAUGCAUAGUGCAGUACUGUAGUUUAUGCAUAGUGCAGCAGUACUGUAGUUUAUGUAUAGUGCAGCAGUACUGUAGUUUAUGCAUAGUGCAGUACUGUAGUUUAUGUAUAGUGCAGCAGUACUGUAGUUUAUGCAUAGUGCAGCAGUACUGUAGUUUAUGUAUAGUGCAGCAGUACUGUAGUUUAUGUAUAGUGCAGCAGUACUGUAGUUUAUGCAUAGUGCAGCAGUACUGUAGUUUAUGUAUAGUGCAGCAGUACUGUAGUUUAUGCAUAGUGCAGCAGUACUGUAGUUUAUGUAUAGUGCAGCAGUACUGUAGUUUAUGUAUAGUGCAGUAUUGUAGUUUAUGCAUAGUGCAGCAGUACUGUAGUUUAUGCAUAGUGCAGCAGUACUGUAGUUUAUGCAUAGUGCAGCAGUACUGUAGUUUAUGUAUAGUGCAGCAGUACUGUAGUUUAUGCAUAGUGCAGCAGUACUGUAGUUUAUGUAUAGUGCAGCAGUACUGUAGUUUAUGCAUAGUGCAGCAGUACUGUAGUUUAUGUAUAGUGCAGCAGUACUGUAGUUUAUGUAUAGUGCAGUAUUGUAGUUUAUGCAUAGUGCAGCAGUACUGUAGUUUAUGCAUAGUGCAGCAGUACUGUAGUUUAUGCAUAGUGCAGCAGUACUGUAGUUUAUGUAUAGUGCAGCAGUACUGUAGUUUAUGCAUAGUGCAGCAGUACUGUAGUUUAUGUAUAGUGCAGCAGUACUGUAGUUUAUGUAUAGUGCAGCAGUACUGUAGUUUAUGUAUAGUGCAGCAGUACUGUAGUUUAUGUAUAGUGCAGCAGUACUGUAGUUUAUGUAUAGUGCAGCAGUACUGUAGUUUAUGUAUAGUGCAGCAGUACUGUAGUUUAUGUAUAGUGCAGUAUUGUAGUUUAUGCAUAGUGCAGCAGUACUGUAGUUUAUGCAUAGUGCAGCAGUACUGUAGUUUAUGUAUAGUGCAGCAGUACUGUAGUUUAUGCAUAGUGCAGCAGUACUGUCGUUUAUGUAUAGUGCAGCAGUACUGUAGUUUAUGCAUAGUGCAGCAGUACUGUAGUUUAUGUAUAGUGCAGCAGUACUGUAGUUUAUGUAUAGUGCAGUAUUGUAGUUUAUGCAUAGUGCAGCAGUACUGUAGUUUAUGCAUAGUGCAGCAGUACUGUAGUUUAUGCAUAGUGCAGCAGUACUGUAGUUUAUGUAUAGUGCAGCAGUACUGUAGUUUAUGCAUAGUGCAGCAGUACUGUAGUUUAUGUAUAGUGCAGCAGUACUGUAGUUUAUGCAUAGUGCAGCAGUACUGUAGUUUAUGUAUAGUGCAGCAGUACUGUAGUUUAUGUAUAGUGCAGCAGUACUGUAGUUUAUGCAUAGUGCAGCAGUACUGUAGUUUAUGUAUAGUGCAGCAGUACUGUAGUUUAUGCAUAGUGCAGCAGUACUGUAGUUUAUGUAUAGUGCAGCAGUACUGUAGUUUAUGUAUAGUGCAGUAUUGUAGUUUAUGCAUAGUGCAGCAGUACUGUAGUUUAUGCAUAGUGCAGCAGUACUGUAGUUUAUGCAUAGUGCAGCAGUACUGUAGUUUAUGUAUAGUGCAGCAGUACUGUAGUUUAUGUAUAGUGCAGCAGUACUGUAGUUUAUGUAUAGUGCAGCAGUACUGUAGUUUAUGUAUAGUGCAGCAGUACUGUAGUUUAUGUAUAGUGCAGCAGUACUGUAGUUUAUGUAUAGUGCAGUAUUGUAGUUUAUGCAUAGUGCAGCAGUACUGUAGUUUAUGCAUAGUGCAGCAGUACUGUAGUUUAUGUAUAGUGCAGCAGUACUGUAGUUUAUGCAUAGUGCAGUACUGUAGUUUAUGCAUAGUGCAGCAGUACUGUAGUUUAUGUAUAGUGCAGCAGUACUGUAGUUUAUGCAUAGUGCAGUACUGUAGUUUAUGUAUAGUGCAGCAGUACUGUAGUUUAUGCAUAGUGCAGCAGUACUGUAGUUUAUGUAUAGUGCAGCAGUACUGUAGUUUAUGUAUAGUGCAGCAGUACUGUAGUUUAUGCAUAGUGCAGCAGUACUGUAGUUUAUGUAUAGUGCAGCAGUACUGUAGUUUAUGCAUAGUGCAGCAGUACUGUAGUUUAUGUAUAGUGCAGCAGUACUGUAGUUUAUGUAUAGUGCAGUAUUGUAGUUUAUGCAUAGUGCAGCAGUACUGUAGUUUAUGCAUAGUGCAGCAGUACUGUAGUUUAUGCAUAGUGCAGCAGUACUGUAGUUUAUGUAUAGUGCAGCAGUACUGUAGUUUAUGCAUAGUGCAGCAGUACUGUAGUUUAUGUAUAGUGCAGCAGUACUGUAGUUUAUGUAUAGUGCAGCAGUACUGUAGUUUAUGUAUAGUGCAGCAGUACUGUAGUUUAUGUAUAGUGCAGCAGUACUGUAGUUUAUGCAUAGUGCAGCAGUACUGUAGUUUAUGCAUAGUGCAGCAGUACUGUAGUUUAUGUAUAGUGCAGCAGUACUGUAGUUUAUGUAUAGUGCAGUAUUGUAGUUUAUGCAUAGUGCAGCAGUACUGUAGUUUAUGCAUAGUGCAGCAGUACUGUAGUUUAUGUAUAGUGCAGCAGUACUGUAGUUUAUGCAUAGUGCAGCAGUACUGUAGUUUAUGUAUAGUGCAGCAGUACUGUAGUUUAUGCAUAGUGCAGCAGUACUGUAGUUUAUGUAUAGUGCAGCAGUACUGUAGUUUAUGUAUAGUGCAGUAUUGUAGUUUAUGCAUAGUGCAGCAGUACUGUAGUUUAUGCAUAGUGCAGCAGUACUGUAGUUUAUGCAUAGUGCAGCAGUACUGUAGUUUAUGUAUAGUGCAGCAGUACUGUAGUUUAUGCAUAGUGCAGCAGUACUGUAGUUUAUGUAUAGUGCAGCAGUACUGUAGUUUAUGUAUAGUGCAGCAGUACUGUAGUUUAUGUAUAGUGCAGCAGUACUGUAGUUUAUGUAUAGUGCAGCAGUACUGUAGUUUAUGUAUAGUGCAGCAGUACUGUAGUUUAUGUAUAGUGCAGCAGUACUGUAGUUUAUGUAUAGUGCAGUAUUGUAGUUUAUGCAUAGUGCAGCAGUACUGUAGUUUAUGCAUAGUGCAGCAGUACUGUAGUUUAUGUAUAGUGCAGCAGUACUGUAGUUUAUGCAUAGUGCAGCAGUACUGUAGUUUAUGUAUAGUGCAGCAGUACUGUAGUUUAUGCAUAGUGCAGCAGUACUGUAGUUUAUGUAUAGUGCAGCAGUACUGUAGUUUAUGUAUAGUGCAGUAUUGUAGUUUAUGCAUAGUGCAGCAGUACUGUAGUUUAUGCAUAGUGCAGCAGUACUGUAGUUUAUGCAUAGUGCAGCAGUACUGUAGUUUAUGUAUAGUGCAGCAGUACUGUAGUUUAUGCAUAGUGCAGCAGUACUGUAGUUUAUGUAUAGUGCAGCAGUACUGUAGUUUAUGUAUAGUGCAGCAGUACUGUAGUUUAUGUAUAGUGCAGCAGUACUGUAGUUUAUGCAUAGUGCAGCAGUACUGUAGUUUAUGCAUAGUGCAGCAGUACUGUAGUUUAUGCAUAGUGCAGCAGUACUGUAGUUUAUGCAUAGUGCAGCAGUACUGUAGUUUAUGUAUAGUGCAGCAGUACUGUAGUUUAUGUAUAGUGCAGCAGUACUGUAGUUUAUGUAUAGUGCAGCAGUACUGUAGUUUAUGCAUAGUGCAGCAGUACUGUAGUUUAUGUAUAGUGCAGCAGUACUGUAGUUUAUGUAUAGUGCAGCAGUACUGUAGUUUAUGCAUAGUGCAGUACUGUAGUUUAUGCAUAGUGCAGUACUGUAGUUUAUGCAUAGUGAAUGUCUUCCCCCUGGUGGUGAGUCACAUGAUAGACCAACAAGUGCUGGGAGAAAAGGCAGAUGUUCAUGUUCCCCUUUUACAGUUGAAGGCUAUUAAAGAAAUGAGCAAUGUAUAA
ensembl:lncRNA